UACGUAGGGUGCAAGCGUUAAUCGGAAUUACUGGGCGUAAAGCGUGCGCAGGCGGUUAUGUAAGACAGAUGUGAAAGCCCCGGGCUCAACCUGGGAAUUGCAUUCGAGACUGCAUAGCUAGGGUGCGGAAGAGGGAAGCGGAAUUUCGGGUGUAGCGGUGAAAUGCGUAGAUAUCCGAAGGAACAUCAGUGGCGAAAGCGGCUUCCUGGUCCAGCACCGACGUUCAGGCACGAAAGCGUGGGGAGCAAACAGG
rnacentral:rRNA from 1 species